rnacentral:rRNA from 1 species
AGUGAACGCUGGCGGUAGGCCUAACACAUGCAAGCCGAACGGCAGCACAGUAAGAGCUUGCUCUUACGGGUGGCGAGUGGCGGACGGGUGAGGAAUACAUCGGAAUCUACUUUUUCGUGGGGGAUAACGUAGGGAAACUUACGCUAAUACCGCAUACGACCUACGGGUGAAAGCAGGGGAUCUUCGGACCUUGCGCGAUUGAAUGAGCCGAUGUCGGAUUAGCUAGUUGGCGGGGUAAAGGCCCACCAAGGCGACGAUCCGUAGCUGGUCUGAGAGGAUGAUCAGCCACACUGGAACUGAGACACGGUCCAGACUCCUACGGGAGGCAGCAGUGGGGAAUAUUGGACAAUGGGCGCAAGCCUGAUCCGGCCAUACCGCGUGGGUGAAGAAGGCCUUCGGGUUGUAAAGCCCUUUUGUUGGGAAAGAAAAGCAGCAGGUUAAUACCCCGCUGUUCUGACGGUACCCAAAGAAUAAGCACCGGCUAACUUCGUG